GGGAGAAAGAAGGGAAGGGUAGGAAGGUAAGGACAGUUGUGGGAUGAAUUUUCCGUACACAGUGGAAAUCCUUGUUUUCUAACUCCGGAGCCCCUUUGACGCUCGGGAAGAUGCCCAGUGGAAAAGUACACCCCGGGACAAUCAGCUUUCCUUGGCCACGCAAGUUACCUGUGCGCCCAGAGAGGCAGCGGAUUUCACCGGAUGAUUAAAACUCAGGUGCAUUCCAAGUUCGCCCAAACGCAUCUGUAUAACGUACCUUGUUCAGCUCCUGCUCAUAGACUCGUCCUCCGCCUGUCUGUGUGGUCCCGGAGGGUCGUGGAAGGAAGUUUCCAAAAUUGAGAGCUUAAUACAAUGCUCUAUACUGCAGCACCAUCCUCUGGAUGGGGAUGCAGUUUGAAGAAGAAGGGAGAAUGAGGACGAGUCAUCACAUGCUCUUGUGUCCACGACUUCCCAGACAUGAUGGGGAUACCCUCAGAUGGUGAACCAAAAUAAACCCCUUCUUUCCUGACUUGCUCCUGUCAGGGUGUUUCAUCACAGCGACAUGACAAUAAAUCCCAAGCCACUCUCAAUAAAUCACUCUCAUGCUACAUAUUCUAAUGGAAGAGUCUACCCUACUUAAGAGUAACCUUUUUUUUUGUUGUUGUUGUUGUUGCUAUUUUAGUUUUCAAUAUCAUUUUUCUUCCUUUGUUAUCCUGCUCAAAAUUCAUCCGUGUCAUCUCUUCUACUGCCUGUCCUUUGCCAUAGUGGGGAAGAAAUGAUAAAAUUCACCCAAAUAUGAGCAUCAGAAAUGGAAAACCAAGUGAUUGGCUUGACUGAUGUCACCAAAUGGCCAAUGAUGAGUCAGUCUUCUGGCUCCUUCUCCUUGAUACUCCCUGUCACCUCCCCUCAUCUCAUUUGCUUUCUGAGCAUUAUUUUAUCCUCUAUUAUCAACUUCUACCCAUCCUCCUAUUGUGGCUUUGCGGCUCACAGAAGGAAAUGAAAGCAGAGCUGUUCACUCCUGUGUCUUAAGUGUUGACAACAGC
rnacentral:lncRNA from 1 species